AUCCAGCCAUGCCGCGUGUGUGAAGAAGGUCUUCGGAUUGUAAAGCACUUUAAGUUGGGAGGAAGGGCAUUAACCUAAUACGUUAGUGUUUUGACGUUACCGACAGAAUAAGCACCGGCUAACUCUGUGCCAGCAGCCGCGGUAAUACAGAGGGUGCAAGCGUUAAUCGGAAUUACUGGGCGUAAAGCGCGCGUAGGUGGUUUGUUAAGUUGGAUGUGAAAGCCCCGGGCUCAACCUGGGAACUGCAUUCAAAACUGACAAGCUAGAGUAUGGUAGAGGGUGGUGGAAUUUCCUGUGUAGCGGUGAAAUGCGUAGAUAUAGGAAGGAACACCAGUGGCGAAGGCGACCACCUGGACUGAUACUGACACUGAGGUGCGAAAGCGUGGGGAGCAAACAGGAUAAGAUACCCUGG
rnacentral:rRNA from 1 species